UACAGGGGGUGCAACCGUUGCUCGGAAUCAUUGGGCGUAAAGCGCACGUAGGCGGUUCGUUAUGUCGGAUGUGAAAGCCCUUGGCUUAACCGAGGAAGUGCAUCCGAAACUGGCGAGCUAGAGUACUAAAGAGGAUCGCGGAAUUCCCGGUGUAGAGGUGAAAUUCGUAGAUAUCGGGAGGAACACCGGUGGCGAAGGCGGCGAUCUGGGUAGAUACUGACGCUGAGGUGCGAAAGCUAGGGGAGCGAACAGG
rnacentral:rRNA from 1 species